rnacentral:rRNA from 1 species
UGCAAGUCGUACGAGAGUUUUUAACUCAAGUGGCGGACGGGUGAGUAACACGUGAGUAUUUAUCUUUAGGAGGGGGACAACAAUUGGAAACGAUUGCUAAUACCCCAUAUGCUUUAGAGUGAAAUGGAUUUAUCCGCCUAAAGAAAAGCUCGCGGCUGAUUAGCUAGUUGGUAAGGUAAUGGCUUACCAAGGCGACGAUCAGUAUCUGGUUUGAGAGGACGAUCAGACACACUGGAACUGAGACACGGUCCAGACUCCUACGGGAGGCAGCAGUGGGGAAUUUUCCGCAAUGGGCGAAAGCCUGACGGAGCAAUACCGCGUGAGGGAAGACUGCCUAUGGGUUGUAAACCUCUUUUUUCAGGGAGGAAUAAAUGACGUGUACCUGAAGAAUAAGCAUCGGCUAACUCCGUGCCAGCAGCCGCGGUAAGACGGAGGAUGCAAGUGUUAUCCGGAAUCACUGGGCGUAAAGCGUCUGUAGGUGGUUAGGUAAGUCAACUGUUAAAUCUUGAGGCUCAACCUCAAAAUCGCAGUCGAAACUAUCUGACUAGAGUAUAGUAGAGGUAAAGGGAAUUUCCAGUGGAGCGGUGAAGUGCGUAGAUAUUGGAAAGAACACCGAUGGCGAAGGCACUUUACUGGGCUAUUACUGACACUCAGAGAC